UUAAAGAUAAGAUAUCCUUUAUUUGUCCCACAAUGGGGUAUUUGAGUGCCCCCGUUUGUUUUUCUCGUGAUAUGACCAUCUUUCUUGAGAUGAAAGGCGUUUUCUCGAUAUAUUACGGCUUUUUUUCCCCGAUAGAAGCACAACUCUUUUAUCUUCUCAUUGGUGUUCAUUUUUAUUGGAUUGGGGGUGAGGGGACAUUUUUGCGUCUUCUAAAGGUUCAAGUGUGGUUUUAAUGAAAUUUUCACCAUAUCCAUCCAUCCAUUUUCUAAUCUGCUUCUCCUCACAAGGGUCGCGGGCGUGCCUCUCCCAGCCUGUCUUGGGGCAGUCGGCGGGUGGCACCCUGAACUGGUCGCCAGGAGUUCAGAACGUGUCGUUGGACGAAGUCAUCGGCGUGGCGUACAGGAAGCCGACGCCUCUUCUUCCUGUUUAGUCUGGCUUCUGAUUACCCCCCCCCCCCCCCCACACACACACACACACACACAUUCUAAAAAACAAGUCAUCCUCAUACCCAAAAUGCACCUGUCACCAUAAUCAAUCAAUUCGAGGAUCUGCUUGAAUUUGGUGACUUGGUUUGUGGAUUAAUGACCGCGCGAAGCCGACUGAAGCAUGCUUGAGUAAAUCUGCUUCAGUCGGGCGAAGGCGGCGAAUCGGGAAAUUGCGUCAUCGUGUGUCUUUUUUUUCGGCAUGUUCGACUUCAAGCGCUCGGAAAAAAAAAGGUGGUGGGGGGGGGUGGAGGGAAGCAGACAUGCUGUCAUUCUAUAGACGCCACGUACGCCCUUAUUUGGACAUGCGCGCUUGUGUUUUCGCUGUCAACUCUGAGUCAAGUGAUGUGACGCCAUCAAACGAGGCGGAGGAAGAAAGCAUAAAGGCCCGAACAUCACGAGAAUUACGAGAAAUCUGACCAUCCAUUCUAUUAUCUGAACUCCACACGGGAAGGUCAGGUCUUGGAAAUCCAACCCCAGACCUCUGCACUGCGAGGCGUACAUGCUAACCGGUCAAGCACCGCACCACCCGGAAAUCUGUCUGUUUUCGCAAAUUAAAUGUAACUUUUUUUUUUCUCAGAAAAAAAAUCCUAAUGUCGUCUCUCACAAUUCUGACUUUAUUUUAUAAUAUUGCAAUGAGACAAACACAAACACACACACUCACACACAUUCCCACCAGUUUCUUUUCUUCAUUUGCUUGCAUGAAUUUUGUCUGACUUGU